CACUGGGAGUACGCGCACGUGACUCAAAGAAUGACGGGGCCGCACAGCGAGAACAUGUGUUAUCGAUGAUACGCGAGACUACCGGCUGAACUGCCAGCGACGAUACAGAGAUGUGAGGCCUUCGGGCGCUGUGAGUGCUGCACGGUGUCGUCAGCUCGUGCCGUGAGUGUCGGCUUAAGUGCCAUAACGAGCGCAACCUUUUCGUCAGUGCCAUCAGGUGAAGCUGGGCACUCUGGCGAUACUGCCACGUAAGGUGUGAGGAAGGUGGGGAUGACGUCAAAUCAGCACGGCCCUUACGUCCGGGGCUACACACGUGUUACAAUGGGGAGUACAGAGAGUCGGUGCAUGGCAAUAUGCAUCCAAUCAUGAAAGCUCUCCUCAGUUCGGAUUGGGGUCUGCAACCCGACCCCAUGAAGCUGGAUUCGCUAGUAAUCGCGCAUCAGCCAUGGCGCGGUGAAUACGUUCCCGGGCCUUGUACACACCGCCCGUCAAGCCAUGAAAGCCGGGGGCGCUUGAAGUCCGUGACCGCAAGGAUCGGCCUAGAGCGAAACUGGUAAUUGGGGCUAAGUCGUAGCGAAGGUAACCUA
rnacentral:rRNA from 1 species